GAGUUUGAUCGUGGCUCAGAUUGAACGCUGGCGGCAUGCCUUACACAUGCAAGUCGAACGGCAGCACGGGAGCUUGCUCCUGGUGGCGAGUGGCGAACGGGUGAGUAAUGCAUCGGAACGUAUCCUGGAGUGGGGGAUAACGUAGCGAAAGUUACGCUAAUACCGCAUAUUCUGUGAGCAGGAAAGCGGGGGACCUUCGGGCCUCGCGCUCUUGGAGCGGCCGAUGUCGGAUUAGCUAGUUGGUGAGGUAAAGGCUCACCAAGGCGACGAUCCGUAGCAGGUCUGAGAGGAUGAUCUGCCACACUGGAACUGAGACACGGUCCAGACUCCUACGGGAGGCAGCAGUGGGGAAUUUUGGACAAUGGGGGCAACCCUGAUCCAGCCAUGCCGCGUGAGUGAGAAGGCCU
rnacentral:rRNA from 1 species